rnacentral:rRNA from 1 species
GUCCUGUUGAUUAUAAUUUAAGGUCUGACCUGCCCACUGAGGAGUUAAAUGGCCGCGGUAUUUUGACCGUGCAAAGGUAGCAUAAUCAUUAGUUUUUUAAUUGGAAGCUUGAAUGAAAGGUUUGAUGAGGAAAAGGCUGUCUCUAUAAAAAUUUAUUAGAAUUUUAUUUUUAAGUAAAAAAGCUUAAAUUUGUUUAGAAGACGAGAAGACCCUAUAGAGUUUUAUAUGAAAUUGAAAAAUUAGGAUUUAAAGUAUAUGAAAAUUUUGGUUUCAAUUACAUAUUUUGUUGGGGUGAUAAAAAAAUUAAUUUAACUUUUUUUGUUUUAUGAACACUAAUUUGUGAAAAGUUGAUCCUUUAGUUAAGAUUAAAAGAUUAAAUUACCUUAGGGAUAACAGCGUAAUUUUUUUAAGAGUUCUUAUCGAAUGAAAAGAUUGCGACCUCGAUGUUGGAUUAAAAUAAAUUGUUGGUGUAGAAGCUAAUAUAUUAGGUCUGUUCGACCUUUAAAAUUUUACAUGAUCUGAGUUUAAACCGGUGUGAG